GACAGGGUGGGCAGUGAUGGUGCCGCUGCGGGCGUUGUUCCUUCUGCUCCUGCUGCGGCCGGAGACAGACUGCGCCCUGUGGAGGGAUAGAACUGCGGAAGAAAACUAUGAACUCUUUACCUCCAGGAAAGAUACCUUUGAGGAUGAAGAACAGUGUUUGCCUGAUUCUGAUCCUUCUAAUUGUUUCGCGUGCUGUUCAACAGUAGCUUCAGAAAUAGAAGGGUAGGUUUUUCUCUACAUGAAUAUUUUUGGAAAUAUAUAAUAACAGUCUUUACUAAAAAAGAUACAUUUUUAAAAUGAUCUGUUUGGAGAAAUGAAAAACAUC